rnacentral:misc_RNA from 1 species
AGCCGCGGUAAUUCCAGCUCCAAUAGCGUAUAUUAAAGUUGUUGCAGUUAAAAAGCUCGUAGUUGAAUUUCGGGAUUGACACAUCGGUCGUGCCUUAAGGGGUAUUAACUGGUGUAGUCAAUUUCUCACCUUCUGGAGAACCGCAAUGCCCUUAAUUGGGUGUCGCGGGGAACCAGGACCUUUACUUUGAAAAAAUUAGAGUGUUUAAAGCAGGCAUUUUGCUUGAAGACAUUAGCAUGGAAUAAUAAAAUAGGACGGAUGAUUCUAUUUUGUUGGUUUCUAGGACCACCGUAAUGAUUAAUAGGGAUAGUUGGGGGCAUUAGUAUUCAAUUGUCAGAGGUGAAAUUCUUGGAUUUAUUGAAGACUAACUACUGCGAAAGCAUUUGCCAAGGAUGUUUUCAUUAAUCAAGAACGAAAGUUAGGGGAUCGAAGACGAUCAGAUACCGUCGUAGUCUUAACCAUAAACUAUGCCGACUAGGAAUCAGACGAUGUUAAUUUUUUAAUGACUCGUUUGGCACCUUACG